rnacentral:sRNA from 1 species
AUUAACGGCGGCAAACGACACACACAUAUCGACACAUGGGCCUGGGUGCCGGAAGAUGUCGUGAUUAUAAGUAAUAAUUACUUAUAAAUCAGUCUCUUAUGGUUGGGUCAUGGGAUAUGUGGAGGUAUAAC